GAUGAACGCUGGCGGCGUGCCUAAUACAUGCAAGUCGAGCGAACAGACGAGGAGCUUGCUCCUCUGACGUUAGCGGCGGACGGGUGAGUAACACGUGGAUAACCUACCUAUAAGACUGGGAUAACUUCGGGAAACCGGAGCUAAUACCGGAUAAUAUAUUGAACCGCAUGGUUCAAUAGUGAAAGACGGUUUUGCUGUCACUUAUAGAUGGAUCCGCGCCGCAUUAGCUAGUUGGUAAGGUAACGGCUUACCAAGGCAACGAUGCGUAGCCGACCUGAGAGAGUGAUCGGCCACACUGGAACUGAGACACGGUCCAGACUCCUACGGGAGGCAGCAGUAGGGAAUCUUCCGCAAAGGGCGAAAGCUUGACGGAGCAACGCCGCGUGAGUGAUGAAGGUCUUCGGAUCGUAAAACUCUGUUAUUAGGGAAGAACAAAUGUGUAAGUAACUAUGCACGUCUUGACGGUACCUAAUCAGAAAGCCACGGCUAACUACGUG
rnacentral:rRNA from 1 species